rnacentral:rRNA from 1 species
UACGAAGGGGGGCUAGCGUUGCUCGGAAUCACUGGGCGUAAAGCGCACGUAGGCGGCUUACUAAGUCAGGGGUGAAAUCCUGGAGCUCAACUCCAGAACUGCCUUUGAUACUGGUGAGCUUGAGUCCGGAAGAGGUGAGUGGAACUGCGAGUGUAGAGGUGAAAUUCGUAGAUAUUCGCAAGAACACCAGUGGCGAAGGCGGCUCACUGGUCCGGUACUGACGCUGAGACGCGAAAGCGUGGGGAGCAAACAGG